rnacentral:rRNA from 1 species
UUUGCCCUUAGAGUUUGAUCCUGGCUCAGGCCGAACGCUGGUCGGCGCGCCUAACACAUGCAAGUCGAACGAGCGAGAGAGAGCUUGCUUUCUCGAGCGAGUGGCGAACGGGUGAGUAACGCGUGAGGAACCUGCCUCAAAGAGGGGGACAACAGUUGGAAACGACUGCUAAUACCGCAUAAGCCCACAGGUCGGCAUCGACCAGAGGGAAAAGGAGCAAUCCGCUUUGAGAUGGCCUCGCGUCCGAUUAGCUGGUUGGUGAGGUAAUGGCCCACCAAGGCGACGAUCGGUAGCCGGACUGAGAGGUUGAACGGCCACAUUGGGACUGAGACACGGCCCAGACUCCUACGGGAGGCAGCAGUGGGGAAUAUUGCACAAUGGGGGAAACCCUGAUGCAGCGACGCCGCGUGGAGGAAGAAGGUCUUCGGAUUGUAAACUCCUGUUGUUGAGGAAGAUAAUGACGGUACUCAACAAGGAAGUGACGGCUAACUACGUGCCAGCAGCCGCGGUAAAACGUAGGUCACAAGCGUUGUCCGGAAUUACUGGGUGUAAAGGGAGCGCAGGCGGGAAGACAAGUUGGAAGUGAAAUCUAUGGGCUCAACCCAUAAACUGCUUUCAAAACUGUUUCUCUUGACUAGUGCACAGGUACGCGGAAUUCCCGGUGUAGCGGUGGACUGCGUACAUAUCCGGAGGACUACCAGUGGCGAGGGCGGCCUACUGGGCACCACCUGACGCUGAGGCUCGAAAGUGUGGUAGCAAACAGGAUUAGAUACACUGGUAGUCCACACCGUAAACGAUGAUUACUAGGUGUUGGAGGAUUGACCCCUUCAGUGCCGCAGUUAACACAAUAAGUAAUCCACCUGGGGAGUACGACCGCAAGGUUGAAACUCAAAGGAAUUGACGGGGGCCCGCACAAGCAGUGGAGUAUGUGGUUUAAUUCGACGCAACGCGAAGAACCUUACCAAGUCUUGACAUCCCUUGACGAACAUAGAAAUAUGUUUUCUCUUCGGAGCAAGGAGACAGGUGGUGCAUGGUUGUCGUCAGCUCGUGUCGUGAGAUGUUGGGUUAAGUCCCGCAACGAGCGCAACCCUUACUGUCAGUUACUACGCAAGAGGACUCUGGCAGGACUGCCGUUGACAAAACGGAGGAAGGUGGGGAUGACGUCAAAUCAUCAUGCCCUUUAUGACUUGGGCUACACACGUACUACAAUGGCGUUAAACAAAGAGAAGCAAGACCGCGAGGUGGAGCAAAACUCAGAAACAACGUCCCAGUUCGGACUGCAGGCUGCAACUCGCCUGCACGAAGUCGGAAUUGCUAGUAAUCGUGGAUCAGCAUGCCACGGUGAAUACGUUCCCGGGCAUGUACACAC